rnacentral:rRNA from 1 species
UACGUAGGGUGCGGGCGUUGUCCGGAAUUAUUGGGCGUAAAGGGCUCGUAGGCGGUCUGUCACGUCGGGAGUGAAAACUCAGGGCUUAACCCUGAGCCUGCUUCCGAUACGGGCUGACUAGAGGUAUGCAGGGGAGAACGGAAUUCCUGGUGUAGCGGUGAAAUGCGCAGAUAUCAGGAGGAACACCGGUGGCGAAGGCGGUUCUCUGGGCAUUACCUGACGCUGAGGAGCGAAAGUGUGGGGAGCGAACAGG